UACGAAGGGGGCUAGCGUUGCUCGGAAUCACUGGGCGUAAAGCGCACGUAGGCGGAUUGUUAAGUCAGGGGUGAAAUCCUGGAGCUCAACUCCAGAACUGCCUUUGAUACUGAAGAUCUCGAGUCCGGGAGAGGUGAGUGAAACUGCGAGUGUAGAGGUGAAAUUCGUAGAUAUUCGCAAGAACACCAGUGGCGAAGGCGGCUCACUGGCCCGGUACUGACGCUGAGGCACGAAAGCGUGGGGAGCAAACAGG
rnacentral:rRNA from 1 species